AUUCUUGAUUUCUUUCUCACAAUCUCACCCUCGCCGCCUCGCGUUUCUCACUUUCUCGUCGCCCGUUGCCGAACAGCCGAAGCCAUCUCUGAAGUUGGAGACUCAUCUCGCCCUCUUCGACGACAUCCUCUCCAAGUUUCACAAAUGGAAGCGAUCAAUCCCUAGCUGAGCGGCAGCGGCUGCUUGAAACAAGUCAAACAACCACAGGUUGCUCACCAGCUCACCUUCGGUCCUUCGCGGCGAUUCUCCUUCCUUGGCUGUCAUCCGCUGAUCCGCACCGACCCUGCGCGUCUCCAGUGCCUUUAAGUUUUAACCUUACCAUCGAGAGGAUUUCGCCAGCGUCGGACCCGUCGAUAACCUCAACGGCUGCUCCUCCAGUCCUCCGUAUAAUGGUGAACUAUAUCUUUUAGCUACAGUCCAGAUCAGGGGUAUUUGAACCAGCCAGUCUUGGUUUGGGAGAAGUUGAAUGAGGUAUGUCUUUAUGACUCAUUAUCAAGUCCUUUUCUAAAUUAUUUUACUUGAUUUUCUUAAUAGUGUUGUUACCUAUGCUUUUGAAUGUCCAGAUGUUUUUUUGUUAAUUCCAUUUCAUUUUUAAAGUAGUUCUGCCAUAAUUUAUUCUCCUUGUACGGAUAAGGUCAACGGAGACGCAAUCUUCAUGACCGGAAACUUUAUGGAAUUUAAAGAUCUUGAUUUUUCGCCUAGUUAAUUAGGGUUUUGUUGUUUGAUUAGGUAAUCAAUUAGGGUGACUGGAAACUUUAUGGAAUUUAAAGAUCUUGAUUCUUCGCCUAGUUAAUUAGGGUUUUGUUGUUUGAUUAGGUAAUCAAUUAGGGUUUGUAUACUUAGAUUUUACCAUAAUUUCAACUUUUGCUUUUCAAUUUGCAUCGAAAUUAUUCUCAUUAUGCAGAUGAUUUCUACUUCUUCUUCUUCUCUAGUACCUAUAUUUUUCCAAAUUUGUUACUUUUUUCAAGUCGAAUAGAAAUGUUCUUAUUAUCACUAGAAGAUGAAUUUUCCUUCUUAUUCUUUAUUACAAAUUAAAAUAUUGUAGUUGGUCACACUUGGUAGGCUCCUGUGUCUUGACCAUUUGCACUAAUGGCUAGUAGUCACCCGUGAUUUACCUCCUCCGUGUUGGCCUAAGGACGGGUUAGCGGGGGCGCUGGGGGCGAGCGAAUCGCCUUUUGCCAUAUGAUUAAGAACAACAAGCAGAUAUAAACAAAUGGAUUUGUGUGUGUGUGUGAUACAAGAACUUUUUUAUUGGUUUACUCUAAAAAGCCUUGGCUUCUAGUUGUUUAUUCUUUUCAGAUGGAUUCUUUUAGCUAGUAAUAUCCGUGACAAUACCCGUGAUAUGUUUUGAUUGUGAGAUAAUAUUACUGUUGGAGUCUGAUGUUAUGGUUUUUAAAGGUGGAGCAAUGCAUAUUUUUUGAAGGGUUGUAUAUGUGGUUGAUUCAUUGAGCAAAAUUUUAUUUGGUGGAUUUCUAAAGGUUUUCUUUGCAAUUGAGAGUUCGAAAGACA